GUCCAGGGGCGGGAAUCGAACCCACACAACCUUCCGCUUACCGGGCAGAUGCCAUGUCCACUAGGCUACCCUGGA